GAACGCACAUUGCGCCCGCCAGCACUCUGGCGGGCAUGCCUGUUCGAGCGUCAUUUCAACCCUCAAGCCCCCCAGGGGGCCUGGUGUUGGGGACCGGCCCCGCCUCGUCGCGGGUCGCCGCCCCCUAAAAUCAGUGGCGGUCCUGCCGCAGCCUCCUCUGCGUAGUAGCUUAUGAAACCUCGCACCGGAGCGCGGCUCGGCCACGCCGUUAAACCCCAACUUCUGAAAGUUUGACCUCGGAUCAGGUAGGAAUACCCGCUGAACUUAAG
rnacentral:misc_RNA from 1 species